AUACGGAGGGUGCAAGCGUUACUCGGAAUCACGGGGCGUAAAGCGCGCGCAGGCGGUCUUUUAAGUUGGAUGUGAAAGCCUACGGCUCAACCGUAGAACUGCAUCCAAAACUAUUAGACUAGAGUGUGGGAGAGGAAGAUGGAAUUAGUUGUGUAGGGGUAAAAUCCGUAGAGAUAACUAGGAAUACCAAAAGCGAAGGCAAUCUUCUGGAACACUACUGACGCUGAGGCGCGAAAGCGUGGGGAGCAAACAGGAUUAGAUACCCUAGUAGUCC
rnacentral:rRNA from 1 species